rnacentral:rRNA from 1 species
GACGAACGCUGGCGGCGUGCUUAACACAUGCAAGUCGAACGGAGUGGCGAACGGGUGAGUAACACGUUGGUUACCUGCCCUGCACUUCGGGAUAAGCCUGGGAAACUGGGUCUAAUACCGGAUCGUUUGGGAUGGGUCCGCGGCCUAUCAGCUUGUUGGUGGGGUAAUGGCCUACCAAGGCGGCGACGGGUCGCCGGCCUGAGAGGGUAGACGGCCAAAGUGGGAUGGAGACAUGUGCAAGACUCCUACGGGAGGGAGCAGUGGGGAAUAUUGCACAAUGUGCUGAAGCCUGAUGCAGCGACGCCGGGUGGGAGAUGACGGCCUUCGGGUUGUAAACUCCUGUCACCAGCGACGCGGGAGAUGGAGAGGAAGCACCGGCUAAAUACGUGCCAGCAGCCGCGGUAAUAC